rnacentral:rRNA from 1 species
GACGAACGCUGGCGGCGUGCUUAACACAUGCAAGUCGAGCGGUAAGGCCCUUUCGGGGGUACACGAGCGGCGAACGGGUGAGUAACACGUGGGUGACCUGCCCUCAGCUCUGGGAUAAGCCUGGGAAACUGGGUCUAAUACCGGAUAUGACUUCGCAUCGCAUGGUGUGGGGUGGAAAGUUUUUUCGGCUGGGGAUGGGCCCGCGGCCUAUCAGCUUGUUGGUGGGGUGAUGGCCUACCAAGGCGACGACGGGUAGCCGGCCUGAGAGGGCGACCGGCCACACUGGGACUGAGGACACGGCCCAGACUCCUACGGGAGGCAGCAGUGGGG